rnacentral:rRNA from 1 species
GACGAACGCUGGCGGCGUGCUUAACACAUGCAAGUCGAACGGAAAGGCCCUGCUUUUGUGGGGUGCUCGAGUGGCGAACGGGUGAGUAACACGUGAGUAACCUGCCCUUGACUUUGGGAUAACUUCAGGAAACUGGGGCUAAUACCGGAUAGGAGCUCCUGCUGCAUGGUGGGGGUUGGAAAGUUUCGGCGGUUGGGGAUGGACUCGCGGCUUAUCAGCUUGUUGGUGGGGUAGUGGCUUACCAAGGCUUUGACGGGUAGCCGGCCUGAGAGGGUGACCGGCCACAUUGGGACUGAGAUACGGCCAAGACUCCUACGGGAGGCAGCAGUGGGGAAUAUUGCACAAUGGGCGGAAGCCUGAUGCAGCAACGCCGCGUGCGGGAUGACGGCCUUCGGGUUGUAAACCGCUUUCGCCUGUGACGAAGCGUGAGUGACGGUAAUGGGUAAAGAAGGACCGGCUAACUACGUG